CGUUAUUCCCUUACUCUCCUACUAUUGUUUUUUCCUCCAAAGUGAAACCGAAACCAGAACCAAAACCCCACAAAAAAACCAACUCUCACUCUCUCACUAUCUCAACUUCACUGUUUUUCUUUGGUUUUUUUGGAAUUUUCUCUCUCUUAGGUUUUGAGUUUUGUUGUUUUUUUCGUUUAAUCAUGUCUUCGACGUCCUUGUCGGAUCCAGGGAUGAAAGCGGAAGCCAGCGGCGGAGAGAAUUCGGAGACGGUGAUAGCAAACGAUCAGCUUUUACUGUACAAAGGAUUGAAGAAAGCGAAGAAAGAGAGAGGCUGCACUGCUAAAGAACGUAUCAGUAAGAUGCCGCCGUGCACCGCCGGCAAACGCAGCUCCAUUUACCGUGGAGUCACCAGGCAUAGGUGGACUGGUCGUUAUGAAGCUCACCUUUGGGAUAAAAGUACUUGGAAUCAAAAUCAGAAUAAGAAAGGGAAGCAAGUCUACUUAGGGGCAUAUGAUGACGAGGAGGCUGCAGCAAGAGCAUAUGAUCUUGCUGCUUUGAAAUACUGGGGUCCUGGGACACUCAUUAAUUUUCCAGUUGCUGACUAUACUAGGGAUCUUGAAGAGAUGCAGAAUUUGUCAAGAGAGGACUACCUUGCAUCUCUUCGAAGAAAAAGCAGCGGCUUCUCAAGAGGAAUUUCUAAAUAUCGCGGUCUUUCAAGUAGUCGCUGGGACUCAUCAUUUCGUCGUGUUGCUGCAUCUGAAUACUUCAAAGGCAUACCUUACAGUGAUGAUCCAGCAACAGAAAGUGAUUACUUAGGUGGUCUUUGCAUUGAGAGGAAGAUUGACUUAACAAGUUAUAUUAAGUGGUGGGGAACCAACAAAACUCGUCAAGCAGAAUCAGGAACAAAAUCUUCUGAAGAAACUAGACGUGCAUGCCCAGAAGACAUUGGCAGUGAACUUAAAACACCAGAGUGGGCAGUGCAGCCUACUGAACCAUACCAACUACCCCGCCUGGGCACAUCCCUUGAAGGGACAAAACGUAAAGGGUCCCCUGUCUCUGCCUUGAGUAUAUUGUCCCGAUCUGCUGACUUCAAGAGCCUGCAGGAGAAAGCACUGAAAAAACAAGAAAAAACUGCUGAUAAUGAUGAGAAUGAGAACAAAAACACUACAAACAAAAUAGAUCAUGGCAAGGCACCUGAAAAAUCAGUAAAUCACGAUAGUGAUAGACUUGGACCUACACUGGGGGUGAGUGGUGGAUUGUCUCUUCAGAAAAAUGUGUUCCCCUUGACUCCCUUCUUGUCUGCUCCACUUCUUACCAAUUACAAUACCAUUGACUCCUUGGUGGACCCUGUGCUUUGGACAUCUCUUGUUCCUGUUCUUCCUACUGGACCAUCUCGCAAUCCUGAGGUGGGUGUAAGUUUCAUCUAACUUUUGUCCCUUGGAAGAACUAGAAUAAGAUGAUAUAACUAAUAAAUAAAGGUUACGAAGACCGAGACUAGUUCAACAUAUACUUUAUUUCGGCCAGAGGAAUGAUUAAUUUGGGUGCAAAGCGAGGAACAUAUUAUCUUGAACUCUUCUUUUGGAGAUUUUUGCAGUACAAUAGUGUGCAGUAAACACAGGCAGUAUGGACAGCUCAGUUUGUCUUCAGAAUGAGACUUUUGCUUACUUAUACAGGUUUGUUACCUGAAUCCUGAGAGAGUAUAGGAAGAAAACUUUAGUGUAUAUUCUAUAGCAUGUAAGAUAAUAUCCCAAAAAUCAGAUGAGUGGAAUUGGUUUUUCAGUUGCGUAAUAAAUAAGAUAACUUAUAAACAAUAAAGGAGUUAGGUAUGUUAUUUGUCUUCUUCCUUUCUUACAACUAGCCAUGGGCCCGUUGAUGUAAGUUUAUUAUCUUGUUGUGUCCUUUUAACUGACAUGAACAAAGUGAGUAUGAUGAGUUUUUCUACUGCAAAAGAAAAAGCUAUGUG